rnacentral:lncRNA from 10 species
UCACUGCCCGGGGCCGCCAGCGCCGGCCGGCCGCUCGGAGUGUGGGGCCCGCCAAGCCCACGCCCACCCGGAACUCUCGCUGGUCCGCAAGCGCCGCGCGCAGCCCUGGUUCCCGCCCAUGCCUCUCCCUCCACACCACCCCGCAAGCUGAGGGAGCGGGUUGCGGCCUUGGCCAGUCCAGAAAGGGGCUCCCACAGUGCAGCGGUGGGCUGAAGGGCUCCUCAAGUGCAGCUGGAGUGGGCACCAGGGCCGAGGAGGUGCUCAGAGCGAGUGAGGGCUGCGAGGGCUGCCAGCAUUCUGUCACCUCUCAUCAUGAGAUCGGAUGGAUUUAUCAGGUGUUUCCAGUUUUGCUUCUUCGUCAUUUUCUGUCUUGUCGCCACCAGAUAAGAAGUGACUUUCGCCCUCUGCCAUGAUUGUGAGACCUCCUCAGCCACGUGGAACUUCUUUGAGUAUGCUCAGCGCGUGCCAUCAUGGGGCCAUGUUCUUCCCCUUUGCUCUUGGAGAAUAGACAAAGCUACCCAGCCCAGCCACAGCCUCAUAAUCUUGUUCUACCUCCCUCUCCAGCCUCAACUAUUUCCAGGCUCCAGCUCAAGUCAUACAUCAGUUGUGUGCCAUGUGUGGAUGUGCACCAAGAGAGAUGAAGCCAUAUCUUCUACAACUCUUCAGUUUUUGAAAUUCAGAAGUUUCAAGAUUACGUUGACUGAAGUAGAUCAUAUUUGGCAAAGCUGUAGGUGACAGGGAAAGUUAAUCAACUGGAAGGAAAUGGAAGGGAAGAAUGUGGUCUACCUCUUCUCUCUCUACUUGAAAUUCAAGCAAGACCUUGGAGAAUACAGGUGGAGCUGGACCUGCAACCGGUGAUUGAACUACCAGUUUCUGAAGGCCACCCAUUCACACCUAUUUCCCGCUACUCCAGGCUAUCUGCAGCUGGAGGAGGCCGUGAGUCACCGUUUUGAGCCUAGAGAUGUAAACAGAAGUUGCUGGGAAGAGCUUCUAGGAAGCCUCUGUGGAAAUUGAAAAUGUAUCUCGCUGACCUCAAGGGAUGAUAUUCAGGAGCUUCAGGGAAUCUUCAGCUAAUGGGAGAAGCACAAGCAGAUUAAUGGAUCCCAAAGACAAAAUGCCUAUCCUAGCUCAAAUGACAUCUCGUGGAUCUUGAAAAGUGGAGCUUUCUGUGCCCAUCUUCAGAAAGAGACAUCAGACAAUCUUAACAUUUCUGCAGCUGAACAUGGGAUGAGAAGAGGGCAAUCUUCCAGUGGGUCCACCACAUUUUCUUUCCAAUUGAGCCAAUUCAUGGUCUCUUCUGGCAACUGCAAGGCCAGAUGUGAAUUUACCACUUUAUUGAGUGAAGCGGUCUGGGCAUUGUGAGACUCACAUAUGCACCCAGAGGGGAAGGGACCCUCACUCUGGGAAUGGAAAUCAAUUCAUAAUUGUACCCAGACAAAUGGGGCACACACUUCAGAUCUAUUACAGGAUUUAGUCGGAAUCAGAAGAACAAAGGCAUAAAGUAGAAACACAUUCAUAUGCCAGGCACAGGUAGGGGCUGGGGAGGGUAGAAAGUCCAGGGUUCCUGGCCGGCGAAGAAGGGCUCUGCUCAGCAUCUCAUGCUGGAGUGCAAGAGUAUAAAAUAAGGUAACUAAGGACAUGAAGCUUGGCCGCCUGCACCAUUUGAAAAAAGAAAAAUCAAACUGUGUUUUAUGAGUUUUUCUGGCUGAGUGGGCUGAUGGUAAAAGUGAUUGCAUAAGUGAAUAAAUUGAAAUAUGUAUCCUGGUUGUGUCAAAAGCAAAAAUAAUUAUUUUGUUCUUGGUGAGAUAUAGUGUUUAACUGCCAACACAUCAACCCAAAUAAAAAGGAAAUCUGCCUUUAGAUCUAGUAAUACAUUUAUUAACAAAUGAUGUAUCUGAAUUAUCCAUCGUUUUGAUCCACAUUUUGCAGAAAGGCA